rnacentral:rRNA from 1 species
GAUGAACGCUAGCGGCAGGCCUAACACAUGCAAGUCGAGGGGCAUCGCGGUGCAGCAAUGCACUGGCGGCGACCGGCGUACGGGUGCGUAACGCGUAUGCAACCUGCCCCGCACCGGGGGAUAGCCCGCCGAAAGGCGGAUUAAUACCCCAUGGUCCCGGGGGCCCGCAUGGGCAUCCGGGUAAAGCCUUGGCGGUGCGGGAUGGGCAUGCGUGCCAUUAGCUGGCUGGUGGGGUAACGGCCCACCAGGGCAACGAUGGCUAGGGGGUCUGAGAGGAUGGUCCCCCACACUGGUACUGAGACACGGACCAGACUCCUACGGGAGGCAGCAGUGAGGAAUAUUGGUCAAUGGGCGAAGCCCUGAACCAGCCAUGCCGCGUGCGGGAUGAAGGCCCUACGGGUUGUAAACCGCUUUUCCCCGGGAAGAAUAACCCCGAUGAGUCGGGGGAUGCCGGUACCGGGGGAAUAAGGAUCGGCUAACUCCGUGCCAGCAGCCCGCGGUAAACACGAGAGUUA